rnacentral:rRNA from 1 species
AUUGAACGCUGGCGGCAUGCCUUACACAUGCAAGUCGAACGGCAGCACGGGAGCAAUCCUGGUGGCGAGUGGCGAACGGGUGAGUAAUACAUCGGAACGUGCCCAGUAGUGGGGGAUAGCCCGGCGAAAGCCGGAUUAAUACCGCAUACGACCUAAGGGUGAAAGCGGGGGAUCGCAAGACCUCGCGCUAUUGGAGCGGCCGAUGGCAGAUUAGCUUGUUGGUGGGGUAAAAGCCUACCAAGGCGACGAUCUGUAGCUGGUCUGAGAGGACGACCAGCCACACUGGGACUGAGACACGGCCCAGACUCCUACGGGAGGCAGCAGUGGGGAAUUUUGGACAAUGGGCGCAAGCCUGAUCCAGCCAUGCCGCGUGUGGGAAGAAGGCCUUCGGGUUGUAAACCACUUUUGUCAGGGAAGAAACGGCUUAAUCUAAUAAAUUGAGCUAAUGACGGUACC